GGACCAAAUUUGAAGUAGAGUAGGUUAGUAGGAUUGUCCGACCCUACUAAUGUACUCUACUUCAAGUUUGUGCCC
rfam:Haemonchus contortus, ISE/inbred ISE, WGS project CAVP01000000 data, contig: Hcontortus_24571